GACGAACGCUGGCGGCGUGCUUAACACAUGCAAGUCGAACGGAAAGGCCCUGCUUUUGUGGGGUGCUCGAGUGGCGAACGGGUGAGUAACACGUGAGUAACCUGCCCUUGACUUUGGGAUAACUUCAGGAAACUGGGGCUAAUACCGGAUAGGAGCUCCUGCUGCAUGGUGGGGGUUGGAAAGUUUCGGCGGUUGGGGAUGGACUCGCGGCUUAUCAGCUUGUUGGUGGGGUAGUGGCUUACCAAGGCUUUGACGGGUAGCCGGCCUGAGAGGGUGACCGGCCACAGUGGGACUGAGAUACGGCCCAGACUCCUACGGGAGGCAGCAGUGGGGAAUAUUGCAAAAUGGGCGGAUGCCUGAUGCAGCAACGCCGCGUGCGGGAUGACGGCCUUCGGGUUGUAAACCGCUUUCGCCUGUGACGAAGCGUGAGUGACGGUAAUGGGUAAAGAAGCACAGGCUAACUACGUG
rnacentral:rRNA from 1 species